UUACAUGAAGAGAUGGGUAAAAGGAAGGAAACUUGUGUUUAUGAUUGCGAGUGCCCCAGCAAAGGCAGCCAGACUGGCUUAGUGGCACAUUAUAGAUGCUGUGUCACCUUCCUCUUCUCAUUCUGCCUGCACAUCCUACAUUGCUAGUAAUUUAGGACUCUCUAAAGAUUGUGCUUGUCGAGACCUUGAAUAGGAUCCAUUCAUUCUUGCCUGUGCUAGGAGAGAGUGGUCCCAUCUACAUUUGGGAUUCUAAACCAAUCCUAUUUUGCUGAAUAUUGUGGCAAUUAUAGUAAUUUUAUAUUAUAGUGAUUAUAGUAAUUAUAGUAAUCAUAGUAAUCACUCACUAAAUAGAGUUAUUACUCAUAGUACAAUAAAGAAGCACAGCGAUCCACUCUCCUCCAACAUCAAAAAUGCCAUGCUGACUGUCGUCAUGACACUCGCCAACAGGCCCAAAACUUGUGCAUCAUGUAUGUCAUGACACCCAUCCACAAUGGGUUAACAGCUAUGAAAACUUUGGGGUUUGGGAAAUAUUGUUCAAUGUUUACUCAAUUUGGUAAAACAAAGCAUUACAGAGAAAUGAUUUUGAGUGUAUAUUAUGUUAUAGAUUACUGAAAUUUGAUGAUAUGUACACAUUAUACUAACUUGGCAAAUGCUCAUCAGAUUGUAUUAUAGGAAAUCAAAUUGAUUUUUACAUCUUUUAUUAUUCAAUUUUAACCCGAUACUGCCGGCCACAGACGGCAAUUGUGCAAAAUGCAUAGCGCCGGGUGCCAGCAUGCGGCGUCAAUCGUAUAAUUGAUUUAGGCCUAUGCGUUCGAGAGCCCCGGCAUUGCAACUUUGCAAAGCCGGAACAGCGCCGGCGUGAAUGGGUUAAACAAGUUGUGCGACACCAAACUGUAGUACCAUGGAAUUGUAACUGUCUGUCAGUCUUCAAAUUAGAAAUAUAGGCCUUGUUUGAUAUUUUAUAAUUUUUGUCAGUUUUAUCUUUUAUUGCUUCAUAAGCUGUCAUUAUUAUAGUAUUUCAGUUUCUGUUGUUGUUCUUUCGCUGCAGCUAAGAUCUUCAGUCUUCAAAAUUGUCAACUAAUGAUUGCUUGUAAAUGAAUGUCUGUGAGAUGAACUAGAGAUCAGAACACCCAGGCUCUUCAUUUGCUCCUUCUUUUUUUUUUCUUGUAUGGAAAUGGGAAGUGGAACUAUAAUAUGAAAAUAGGUCAUUUAGAAUGCACUACAUCAAAAGUGUAUGGGGAUGGAAGUACAGUUAAAUUACAAAUCCCAGAAUUAGUAACAUGAAAAAAAUACUGUUUCAGUGAGAGCUAUAAGUACCAUAUAUAUGAUUACCAAAUUCUCAUUCCUGCAAACCUGUAUAAUUAUAUGUGAUGUCAUACAUUUCCAUCUAUCUAUUAAUUUUUUUCUUCUACAUUUUGUCCAUCCUUCCCCUCGUUAUUUUUUUUUUUUUUUUUUUUUUUCCUCCUGUUGCAGAUUUUUAGUUUGUUAGCAUUUAUAUUAUCUUACUUUAUUAUUUCGUGUAGGACUACAUAUGUUACUCUGUAUUUUUCCUUUAAGUAACAUCUUCACUCCUAACUCAUCAAACUUUAUAUCUAUAUUGAUGUCAAAAAUUCAUCUUCCUCUUCAGGCUCAAUGGACAGUGAAGCUGGUGUGUUUGCCAUGACCUUCGACCAGAGCGGCUCCCGUCUCAUAACCUGCGAUGCUGACAAGACCAUCAAGAUAUACAAGGAGGAUGACACUGCGAGCGAGGAAAGUCACCCCAUCAACUGGAGACCAGAAAUCUUGAAGAGAAGAAAGUAUUAAGGUGGUGAUAGUUAGUAUUAUUGGAUAUUGCGUAUUGUGCUGGAUGAGAUGAUAUUAUAUAAUGUCCUUUUACAUGUAAUUGGAUUUCUGUCUAAUUCCCCGAUGGGAGAUUUUAUGAGUUUAUUAUUUUUUCUUGUUUUCUUUUACCAUUUUGUUUUAUGAGCAGUCCUAAUACCAAUUAGGAAUACGGAUAGUAAUAACUGUAUCUUAUUGCCAUUAUUAUUAGUAGUAUUAUAAUGUUUAUUUUUAUUAUUGUCAUUGUUUUUUGUUUUGUUUUUAAGCAGAGUAAAGAUUUACAGAACCAUUUUGGAAAGACUUUUGUCCCCAUAUGCUAUAUUUUUAUUUUUAUUUAUGAACCUUAAAUUUUGUCCUGAAUGAUAAGCAACUCUUUGCAAGAAAAUUGUCAACAGUAUGAGAUAUUAGAAUUCUAAAAAGGGUUUUCAGUUUCUUUACUGGUAAUUGAAAACUUUUGAACAAUAAGCAGAAAAAAAUCCUGCCAUGUUUGUCUGGUUAUUUCAUAUUAAAGAAAAGAAUGUCA
rnacentral:lncRNA from 1 species